UACAGAGGGUGCGAGCGUUAAUCGGAAUUACUGGGCGUAAAGCGCGCGUAGGCGGCUUUUCAAGUCGAUUGUGAAAUCCCCGGGCUUAACCUGGGAACUGCAGUCGAGACUGUCUAGCUAGAGUAUGGGAGAGGGAGGUGGAAUUUCAGGUGUAGCGGUGAAAUGCGUAGAUAUCUGAAGGAACAUCAGUGGCGAAAGCGACUCCCUGGACCAAUACUGACGCUCAUGUGCGAAAGCGUGGGGAGCAAACAGG
rnacentral:rRNA from 1 species